rnacentral:rRNA from 1 species
GACGAACGCUGGCGGCGUGCUUAACACAUGCAAGUCGAACGGAAAGGCCCUGCUUUUGUGGGGUGCUCGAGUGGCGAACGGGUGAGUGACACGUGAGUAACCUGCCCUUGACUUUGGGAUAACUUCAGGAAACUGGGGCUAAUACCGGAUAGGAGCUCCUGCUGCAUGGUGGGGGUUGGAAAGUUUCGGCGGUUGGGGAUGGACUCGCGGCUUAUCAGCUUGUUGGUGGGGUAGUGGUUUACCAAGGCUUUGACGGGUAGCCGGCCUGAGAGGGUGACCGGCCACAUUGGGACUGAGAUACGGCCCAGACUCCUACGGGAGGCAGCAGGGGGGAAUAUUGCACAAUGGGCGGAAGCCUGAUGCAGCAACGCCGCGUUCGGGAUGACGGCUUUCGGGUGGUAAACCGCGUUCGCCUGUGACGAAGAGUGAGUGACGGUAAUGGGUAAAGAAGCACCGGCUAACUACGUG